AUACGGAGGAUCCGAGCGUUAUCCGGAUUUAUUGGGUUUAAAGGGUGCGCAGGCGGCCAUUUAAGUCAGCGGUUAAAUCGUGGGGCUCAACCCCAUUCUGCCGUUGAUACUGGGUGGCUUGAUUGCAGUCGAGGUUGGCGGAAUUCGUUGUGUAGCGGUGAAAUGCAUAGAUAUGACGAAGAACACCGAUUGCGUAGGCAGCUGACCAGACCGCAAAUGACGCUCAUGCACGAAAGUGCGGGGAUCGAACAGGAUUAGAUACCCUGGUAGUCCGCACAGUAAACGAUGAAUACUUGUUUUCGGCGAUAUAAUGUCGGAGGCAAAGCGAAAGCGAUAAGUAUUCCACCUGGGGAGUACGCCGGCAACGGUGAAACUUAAAGGAAUUGACGGGG
rnacentral:rRNA from 1 species